AGAUGUAAGGCAGAUCAUGUUAAACACUCCUUAAUAAAGGACAAAACCAAAUGAACCCUGCCCUAAUGUCUUUGGUUGGGGCGACCGCGGGGAAACAAAAAACCCCCACGUGGAAAGGGAAAACUUCCUCCUACAACUGAGAGCUCCUGCUCUAGUUAACAGAAUUUCUGACUAAUAAGAUCCGGCAACGCCGAUCAACGGACCGAGUUACUCUAGGGAUAACAGCGCAAUCCCCUUUUAGAGCCCAUAUCGACAAGGGGGUUUACGACCUCGAUGUUGGAUCAGGACAUCCUAAUGGUGCAGCCGCUAUUAAG
rnacentral:rRNA from 1 species